rnacentral:rRNA from 1 species
UGGAGCUUGCGGUUUAAUUGGAUUCAACGCCGGAAAUCUUACCGGGACGACAGCAAUAUGAAGGCCAGGCUGAAGACUUUGCCGGAUUAGCUGAGAGGUGGUGCACGGCCGUCGUCAGUUCGUACUGUGAAGCAUCCUGUUAAGUCAGGCAACGAGCGAGACCCACGCCCACAGUUGCCAGCGUACUCUCUGGAGUGACGGGUACACUGUGGGGACCGCCGCUGCUAAAGCGGAGGAAGGAAUGGGCAACGGUAGGUCAGCAUGCCCCGAAUUAUCUGGGCUACACGCGGGCUACAAUGGGUGGGACAAUGGGUAUCGACACCGAAAGGUGAAGGCAAUCUCCUAAACCCAUCCGUAGUUCGGAUUGUGGGCUGCAACUCGCCCACAUGAAGCUGGAAUCUGUAGUAAUCGUGUCUCAAAAUGGCACGGUGAAUAUGUCCCUGCUCCUU